rnacentral:tRNA from 1 species
CGGAAUAUAGCUUAAGCUAAAGCAUCUCGCUUACACCGAGAAGAUACUUGCUAAUACCA